CACGUAGGAGGCAAGCGUUAUCCGGAUUUACUGGGCGUAAAGCGCAUGCAGGUGGUUCGGUAAGUUGGAUGUGAAAGCUCCUGGCUCAACUGGGAGAGGUCGUUCAAUACUACCGGGCUUGAGAGCAGUAGAGGAAGGUGGAAUUCCCGGUGUAGUGGUGAAAUGCGUAGAUAUCGGGAGGAACACCAGUGGCGAAAGCGGCCUUCUGGACUGUUUCUGACACUCAUAUGCGAAAGCUAGGGUAG
rnacentral:rRNA from 1 species